ensembl:snoRNA U3 Small nucleolar RNA U3
AAGACGAUACUUGCACGGAUCAUUUCUAUAGUUCGUUACUAUUGAAGUCUCUCUGAACGUUCAGAGCACUGGAAACCACGAGGAGGAGGCGCGGCGUUCUCUCCGGAGCGUGAAGCCGCUCUCGGUGUUGCUUUCUGCAAUUGCCAUUCGUCAUUGAUGAUGGUUCUUCUCUCUCUUUGGGGGAGUAAGAGGGGAGAACGCAGAAAAG